rnacentral:rRNA from 1 species
UACGUAGGGUGCGAGCGUUGUCCGGAAUUAUUGGGCGUAAAGAGCUCGUAGGCGGUUUGUCGCGUCGGCCGUGAAAACUUGGGGCUUAACUCCAAGCUUGCGGUCGAUACGGGCAGACUUGAGUUCGGCAGGGGAGACUGGAAUUCCUGGUGUAGCGGUGAAAUGCGUAGAUAUCUGGAGGAACACCGGUGGCGAAGGCGGCAUCCUGGACCAACAUUGACGCUGAGGAGCGAAAGCCAGGGGAGCAAACGGG